ensembl:lncRNA
GUGGGAUGUGGGGUGGUCGGGGUGCGAUGUUAAUAGGAUAUGGGGGAUAAGGGGUGGGAUAUGGGGUGGGAUGUGGGGUGAGAUGUGGGGCGGAUGGGGUGAUAUAUGGGGUGGAUGGGGUGAGAUAUAGGGCGGAUGGGGUGAUAUAUGGGGUGGAUGGGAUGGGCUGUGGGGCAGCUGGGGGCCCAUCCCCCGAUGCCACUCUUUGAGCCCCAUAUCGGACCCCCACAUCCCCCCCAAAUCCCCCUUACAGCCCCCACAAAUCAGCCCUCAGCACCCCCAAAUCCUCCUCAGGAGAAAUGGGGUUUUCUCCUCCCAAAACAUUCACCCCAAACCCAAAUGGGGUUUUCUCCUCUCAGUGCAUUCACCCCAAACCCAAAUGGGGUUUUCCGUUUCCAACACCCUCACCCCAAAUCCAGAGCGGAUCUUCCCAUUCCAAUCUAUUCACCCCAAACCCAAAUGGGGUUUUCUCCUCCCAAAACAUUCACCCCAAACCCAAAUGGGGUUCUCCUUUCCAACACAUUCACCCCAAACCCAAAUGGGGUUUUCCUUUCUAACACAUUCACCCCAAACCCAAAUGGGGUUUUCCGUCCCAGCCCCAUUUGCCCCGCAGUGCCCUCAGUGCGCAUCCCGGACUGCUGUGUGCACAGAGGGCUCUUAAUGAGCCAAUAAUCCUUAAUGGGAUUGAAUUGCCUCUUUAUGAGCGCUAAUUACAGAGAUACGGCAAUUAGCGCCGUACAAUUAACGCAGCUCUGCUCACUGUAAGGGCUGAGCGGCGAUGUGACCCCAUGGCCACCGCUAUGGGCAGCGGACCCACACUGUGCUGACACUGACCCCGACCCUACAACCCUGACCCUAUAACACCAACCCCAACCCUGACCCUAUAACCCCAACCCUGACCCUAUAACCCCAACCCUGAUCCUGUAAUCCUGACUCUAUGACCCCAAUCCUGACCCUAUGGUCCCAAACCUGACCCUAUAACCCCAACUCUGAUCCUACAAUCCCAACCCUGACCCUAUGACCCCAACCUUGACCCUAUAACCCCAACCCUGACCCUAUGGUCUCAACCCAGACCCUGUAACCCUGACCCUAUAACCCCAACCUGACCCUAUAACCCUGACCCUGGCCCUAUGACCCCAACCCUGAUCCUGUAACCCUGACUCUAUAAGCCCAACCCUGAUCCUAUGGUCCCAACCCUGACCCUACAACCCUGACCCUAUAACCUCAACUACGACCCUGUGACCCCAACCCUGACCUUACAACCCCAACCCUGAUCCUGUAGCCCUGACCCUAUAGCGCCAACCCUGACCCUGUGACCCUGACCCUAUAAUCCUAACCCCAACCCUAACCCUGACCCUAUGAUUCUUAUCCUGACCCUAGCCCUAUAACUCUGACCUUGAUCCUAUAACCCUAACCCUAAUCCUAGUCCUAAUCCUAACCCUAACCCUGACCCUAACCAUAUAACCCUGAUCCCAUAACUCUAACCUUGACCCUGACCUUGAUCCUAUAACCCUAACCCUAACCUUGACCCUCAACCUAUAACCCCAAUCCUAACCCUGAUCAUAUAACCCUAAUCCUAGCCCUGACCCUGACCCUAACCCUAUAACCCAAACUCUAACACUAACCCUGACCCUAUAACCCCAUCCCUAACCCUAUGAUCCUAACGCUAACCUGACGCUGACACAGACCCUAACCCCAACCAGUCCUGACCCUAUAACUCUAACCCAAACCGUAUCCCUGACCCUAUAACUCUAACCCCAUAACUCUGACCCUAUAAAUCAAUCUCGACCCCAACCCCAUACCCAACACCAGUCCUAAACUGAAACCUGACCCUAACACUCUAACCCUAACCCCAACCCUAACCCUGACCCCAUAAUGCUAACCCUAAUCCUGACCCCAUAACUCUAACCCUAACCCUGACCCCAUAACUCUAACCCUAACCCUGACCCCAUAACUCUAACCCUAACCCUGACCCCAUAACGCUAACCCUAACCCUGACCCCAUAACAGUAACCCUAACCCUGACCCCAUAACUCUAACCCUAACCCUGACCCCAUAACUCUAACCCUAACCCUAGUCCUAAUCCCUGUAGGAUUUUUCUCAGUGGGUUUUGGGUCUGUAGAAGUUUUCUCAAUGGGUUUCGGGUCCAGGAGGGUUUUCUCAAUGGGUUUUGUGUCCAUCGGAGUUUUCCCAAUGGGAUUUGGGCCCCGUGGGACUUUUCUCAAUGGGGUUUGGGUGUAUGGGAGAUUUCUCAAUGGGUUUUGGGUCAGUAGGAUUUUUCCCAAUAGGAUUUGGGUCUAUGGGAGUUUUCUCAAUGGGUUUCGGGUCCAUAGGAGUUCUCCCAAUGGGGUUUGGGCCCUGUGGGAAUUUGCUCAGUGGGUUUGGGGUCUGUAGGAUUUUUCUCAGUGGAUUUUGGCUCUGUAGAAGUUUUCUUUUUCAAUGAGUUUUGGGUCUGUGGGAGUUUUCUCAAUGGGGUUUGGGGUCGAUGGGGGUUUUCUCAGUGGGGUUUGGGUGUACGGGAUUUUUCUCAAUGGGUUUUGUAUCCAUCAAAGAUGUCCUAAUGGGGUCUGAGCCCCGUGGGAGUUUUCUCAAUGGGGUUUGGGUGUAUGGAGGUUUUCUCAGUGGGUUUUGGGCCCCGUGGGGGUGGGGGGUUCUUAAUGGGUUUUGUGUCCGUAGGAGUUUUCCCAAUGGGGUCUGGGCCCUGUGGGAGUUUUCUCAGUGGGUUUUGGGUCAGUAGGAUUUUUCCUAAUAGGAUUUGGGUCUAUAGAAGUUUUUCUCAAUGACUUUUGGGUGUAUGGGUAUUUUCUUGAUAGGUUUUGUGUCCGUAGGAGUUUUCCCAAUGGGUUUUGGGGUCUGUAGGAUUUUUCUCAGUGGAUUUUGGCUCUGUAGAAGUUUUCUUUUUCAAUGAGUUUUGGGUCGGUGGGAGUUUUCUCAAUGGGGUUUGGGGUCGAUGGGGGUUUUCUCCACGGAUUUUGCGUCCAUUGGAGUUUUCUCAAUGGGGUGUGGGCCCUGGGGGGGGGGGGGGUUCUCAAUGGGUUUUGGGUCUAUAGGACUUUUUUCAAUGGGUUUUGGGUCCAUGAGAGUUUUCCCAAUGGGUUUUGGGUCCAGAGGAAUUUUCCCGAUGGGGUUUGGGCCCCGCGGGAGUUUUCUCAGCGGCUUUUGUGUCUGUAGAAGGUUUUUUUUUUCAACGGGUUUUGGGUCCAUUGCAGUUUUCUCGAUGGGUUUUGGGCCCUACGGGAGUUUUCUCAAUGGGUUUUUGGGUCUAUGAGAGUUUUCUCAAUGGGGCUUUGGGCCCUCCGGGGGUUUCUCAAUGGCUUUCGGCCCGCAGAGGCUCCGGUUGGCGGCGGCUCCGAGCACCACCCGAGCAGCAGCGCGGCUCUCUCGGCCGGAAGGACGGCCCGCCGCUCCGGUUCGGUUCUGCCCCGCGGAGCGGUUCGGCCCGCCGGGUCCCGCCGCCGUCCGUCGCCGCGCUGUUUGUUUGCCCGUUGCCCGGAGCCGCGACCGUCCGCUGCGCUCCGCGCCUCUGCGGUUUCCCGUCCCCCGAAAGCGGUUAUUUUGGGAUUUGAGUUUUUGUCGCUUUUCUUUUCCUGUUGUUAUCGGGGAGAUCCCAACCUCCGCUCGCGCUGACGCGGAGCUGACGGCAGCGCUACGAAUCGGGAAAGGGGGGGUGGGGGGGAAACGGGGGGCGGCCCCACGUAGAGAGCGGCAGCGGCACCGCGUGGCCACCGGGAGCCGCGCAGCGGCGGCUGCGGGCAGCGCUGCGCCGGGUGGGACUGCGGGGGUUUGAGGUCCCUCCCAACGCAACGGCGCUGUGAUGCCGCGGUUCUGGGGACUGUAGGGUCCCUCCGAGCCGCCCGUGCUGCGAUUCUAUGGGUCUGUGGUCUAUAGGGCCUCUCCAAAGCAACCGUGCUGUGCAUCCGUUGCCUGUGAUCCAUAGGAUCCCUCCAACCCACCCGUGCUGUGAUCCCGUGGUUCUGUGAUCUAUAGGGCCCCUUCAACCCAACGAUGUGAUUCUGUGAUCUAUAGGGUCCCUUCCAACCCACCCUUGCUGUGAUCCCAUUGUUCUGUGAUCUAUACGGUCCGUUCCAACCCAAGGAUGUGAUUCUGUCAUCUAUAGGGUCCCUUCCAACACACCCGUGUUGUGAUCCCUCGGUUCAGUGAUCUAUAGGGCCCCUCCAACCCAACAAUGUUAUUCUGUGAUCUAUAGGGUCCCUUUCAACCCAACCACUCCACUCAGUGAUCCCAUGGUUCUAUGAUCGAUGGGGUCCUCUCAUCCCAACCACUCUGUGAUCCCAUGGUUCUAUGACCUAUAGGGUCCCUUUCAACCCAACCACUCAGUGAUCCCAUGGUUCUAUGAUCUACAGGGUCCUCCCAUCCCAACCACUCAGUGAUCCCAUGGUUCUAUGGUCUAUAGGGUCCUCCCAUCCCAACCACUCAGUGAUCCCAUGGUUUUAUGAUCUAUAGGGUCCCUUUCAACCCAACCACUCAGUGAUCCCAUGGUUUUAUGAUCCAUAGGGUCCUCCCAUCCCAACCACUCAGUGAUCCCAUGAUUCUAUGACCUAUAGGGUCCCUUUCAACCCAACCACUCAGUGAUCCCAUGGUUUUAUGAUCCAUAGGGUCCUCCCAUCCCAACCACUCAGUGAUCCCAUGGUUUUAUGAUCUAUAGGGUCCCUUUUAACCCAACCACUCAGUGAUCCCAUGGUUCUAUGACCUAUAGGGUCCCUUUCAACCCAACCACUCUGUGAUCCCAUGGUUCUAUGACCUAUAGGGUCCCUUUUAACCCAACCACUCAGUGAUCCCAUGGUUCUAUGAUCUACAGGGUCCUCCCAUCCCAACCACUCAGUGAUCCCAUGGUUCUAUGGUCUAUAGGGUCCUCCCAUCCCAACCACUCAGUGAUCCCAUGGUUUUAUGAUCUAUAGGGUCCCUUUCAACCCAACCACUCAGUGAUCCCAUGGUUUUAUGAUCCAUAGGGUCCUCCCAUCCCAACCACUCAGUGAUCCCAUGAUUCUAUGACCUAUAGGGUCCCUUUCAACCCAACCACUCAGUGAUCCCAUGGUUUUAUGAUCCAUAGGGUCCUCCCAUCCCAACCACUCAGUGAUCCCAUGGUUUUAUGAUCUAUAGGGUCCCUUUCAACCCAACCACUCAGUGAUCCCAUGGUUCUAUGACCUAUAGGGUCCCUUUCAACCCAACCACUCAGUGAUUCCAUGGUUCUAUGGCCUAUAGGGUCCCUUUCAACCCAACCACGCGAUUCUGUGGUCUAUAGGGCCCAUCCUGACCCACAGCUCACAGCAUCAUGAGGCACACACAGAAAGCAGCGGUGCUCAAUGCCUCCUCUGCCCGCAGCGCCCAAACUGCAGAGAGCAAAGGAAGGAACUGAGAGAAGGACGAUCUGCCCCCCAAAGAUGAGGUCUGAAAGCAGCUGUAGGGCCUGAAGGUGCUAUGGGGCCGACGAGAUCCCUCCAUGGGUUCAGGGGGAGCUGCGGGGUGAUGCCGCCACGCUGCCCUCCAUCGUAUUCGGAAGGCGGUGGCAUUGGGAGACAUUCCCAUGGGAUGGAAAAGGGGACACACAGCUCCCGUUCCCAGGAAGGGGGAAAAUGGGGGGGGGGGGGAGAACUGCACAGCAGAGGUUUCCCCUCUGUGCCUGCGGGACUGUGGGGCACACAGGGGGGUCAUGGAAAAGAAGGAUGGGGUGGUUGGUGGUAAGCAGCACGGCUUCAGCAGGGCUGUGAGGAGGGUUUGGGGGUGUGGGUCGGUGAAAGAGGGCUGCCCAAAUCCUGCCUUGCUUCGGGAGCAGUGCAGCCAGCAGGGUGGGGGAUGGGGGGAGGUGGGGGGGGAUGGGGGGGGGUCCUGCCCCUCUGCUCUCCUGAGCCCCCAUCGGGAACGCUGCAUCCAGGUCUGAGCCCCCAGCAGCAGAAGGACACGGAGCUGUUGGUGCGUCACGGAGGUGAGCAGAGGACGGAGCACCUCCAAAACAGGGACAGGCUGAGAGCUGGGGCUGUGCAGCCUGGGGAAGGGGCAUUAUAGCUGAGAGCUGGGGCUGUGCAGCCUGGGGAAGGGACAUUAUAGCUGAGAGCUGGGGCUGUGCAGCCUGGGGAAGGGGCAUUAUAGCUGAGAGCUGGGGCUGUGCAGCCUGGGGAAGGGGCAUUACAGCUGAGAGCUGGGGCUGUGCAGCCUGGGGAAGGGGCAUUAUAGCUGAGAGCUGGGGCUGUGCAGCCUGGGGAAGGGGCAUUAUAGCUGAGAGCUGGGGCUGUGCAGCCUGGGGAAGGGGCAUUACAGCUGAGAGCUGGGGCUGUGCAGCCUGGGGAAGGGGCAUUACAGCCCAUUAUAGCCCUGCCAGGACCUGGGGGGGGGGGGGGGGGGGGAAGCUAGGAAGGACUUCUUACAAGGGCGGGUAGCGACAGGAUAAGGGGAAAUGGCUUUGAGCUGGGAGAGGGGAGGACUAGAGCGGAUGUUAGGAGGGAAUUCUUCACUGUGAGGGGGGGCAGAGGUUGGGACAGGGCAUGGGGGGGCUGUGGGUGACCCCUCCCCAGGGGGGAUGGGGCUCUGAGCAGCCCGGUGUGCUGCGAGCCGGCCCUGCCAGCAGCGGGGGGUGCAGUGAGGUGAUCUAUAGGGCCUCUCCCAACCCAAACCAUGUCGUGAUUCGGUGAUUCUGUGAUCUAUAGGGCCCCUUCUGACCCAAACUGUGCCGUGAUUCGGUGAUUCUGUGAUCUAUAGGGCCCCUCCCAAUCCAAACCGUGCCGUGAUUCGGUGAUUCUGUGAUCUAUAGGGCCCCUUCUGACCCAAACCGUGCAGUGAUUUGGUGAUUCUGUGACCUAUAGGGCCUCUCCCAACCCAAACCGUGCCGUGAUUUGGUAAUUCUGUGAUCUAUAGGGCCCCUUCCGAUCCAAACCGUGCCGUGAUUCGGUGAUUCUGCAAUCUAUAGGGACCCCUCCAACCCAACCAUGCCGUGACUCUACGAUCCGUAGGGUCCCUUCAACCCAAUUCGUGCCGUGAUCCCACAGUUCUGUGAUCCAUACGGUCCCUCCCAACCCAACCGUGCCACGACCCCAUGGCCGUGUCCCCACAGCCCCAGAGCAGCCCUAGGGAGGGCGGCAUCCCCUUCCCCCCCCCGGGCCAUAGACGCAGCACGGGGCAGCCCAACGCGCUG